GAUGAACGCUGGCGGUAUGCUUAACACAUGCCAGUCGAACGGACUCUUCGGAGUUAGCGGCGGACGGGUGAGUAACGCGUGAGAAUCUGGCUUUGGGUUCGGGACAACCACUGGAAACGGUGGCUAAUACCGGAUGUGCCGAGAGGUAAAAGAGAAAUUGCCUGAAGAUGAGCUCGCGUCUGAUUAGCUAGUUGGUGAGGUAAAGGCUCACCAAGGCAGCGAUCAGUAGCUGGUCUGAGAGGAUGACCAGCCACACUGGGACUGAGACACGGCCCAGACUCCGACGGGAGGCAGCAGUGGGGAAUUUUCCGCAAUGGGCGAAAGCCUGACGGAGCAAUACCGCGUGAGGGAAGAAGGCUCUUGGGUUGUAAACCUCUUUUCUUAGGGAAGAACAAAAUGACGGUACCUAAGGAAUCAGCAUCGGCUAACUCCGUG
rnacentral:rRNA from 1 species